GCAUCGGUGGUUCAGUGGUAGAAUUCUCGCCUGCCACGCGGGAGGCCUGGGUUCGAUUCCUGGCCGAUGCA
rnacentral:tRNA from 1 species